UUGUCCGUGUGUGUUUCAAAUCUCCGUCAUAAAGUAAAUUUACCGAUUAUUCGUGAUGCGUGGAGUUCACCUUAGUUUCAAGUGUGUCUGAAAAAGAAGGAAGCUACUGUGAGCCGUGCAACUACGUCGAAUCUGCUCAACAGCCGAGAUCGUGGCACGGUCGUUCCAAACCCUUGCCAAGCAGAAGUUGGCAUUCACCUUCACCAUCCCGAUGUGAGUGUCCUGGGACGACACAGGAUGACAGUCUCCUCUGCUGAAGUCCAGGCUUCAUGGGAGACUGCCAAGGCUGUUUAUGUGGCAGCAGCACCAGCUCCUGUGAUGCAGAGCAUGUGCAACACAGGUGCAGCCUUCGGUGGUGCAGCUGCAAUACCUGCAACCUUAGAUGGAGCAGCUGGUACAGUCGGACCUGCAUCCGCUGAGGCAGCUGCUAAAGAGCCCACUGAGGUGGAGCCAUAUCAGCUGCUAAACUUCCUAGAAUGUGAAAUGAUGCAUGUCUACGACGGUUGAUGUCAAGGUGACGUGGAAAGCCUGGGGUGACAACAUAGUGAACCAGGACAUAAGGUCAAGCGUUGCUGUGAAGAACCUGACCGUUGCUCUGUGGGGGUCCAGUGUCCUGCAGAGGACUGUGGCCGAAAUGGCGUCGAAUGUGAGUCUUAACAAGGACAGCAGGCUGCCUCUGACACCCAAGAAAGCCCCAUUCCUAAGAGGCGAGUGCAAAUUAUCUCACGUAAGCGUAACCUAAGCAGUUAUUUGAAAAAUCUUCUCAAUCAAGGCAGUAUCUUGGCAGCUAGUUGGUAUUAUACUGGGAGUUCACAAUGUUUCGGUGAUCUUUGGAUAGACCGCAUAAAACUGAUAGGAUUGAGCACACAGCUGUGACAUAAUGGUGGAAGCUUUCAGUAAAAUUAUAGGAAGAUUAGGUAACCUCGGUAAAACACAAAAGCUAUAUUUUUUUUUAUUUUUUGCGUGCCAACACCAGAUUUAUAUUUUUUUUUGUGCC